CACGUAGGGUGCAAGCGUUUGUCCGGAAUUAUUGGGCGUAAAGGGCUCGUAGGCGGUCCGUCACGUCGGGAGUGAAAACUCGGGGCUCAACCCCGAGCCUGCUUUCGAUACGGGCGGACUAGAGGUAGGUAGGGGAGAACGGAAUUCCUGGUGUAGCGGUGAAAUGCGCAGAUAUCAGGAGGAACACCGGUGGCGAAGGCGGGUCUCUGGGCCGUAACUGACGCUGAGGAGCGAAAGCGUGGGGAGCGAACAGG
rnacentral:rRNA from 1 species